ensembl:lncRNA
CAGAGAGUUUCUUUCAGAAGUGGACUUAUCAAAGCAACAGUGCUGUUAAUCUGAAGAACAAUGGCAGAUACAAACCCAGAUAAAACCCCUCAGUGCGAUAAGAGCAACAUGCCAGGGUGAAGGCAAGGGUGAAGGCAAGGAUACAAACCCAGAUAAAAUCCCUCAGUGCGAAAAGAGCAAACCAUGCCACGGUGAAGGCAAGGGUGAAGGCAAGGGUGAAGGCAAGGGAAAAGGACCAGGACAAGGGCAAGGUCAAGGCAAGGGUCAGGGUCAUGGUCACGGACACGGUCACGGACCUGGAAAGGAUGGAAAGGAUGGCAAAGGCAAACCAUAAUGAAAGGAGCUGAAUGAAGAGACGUCUGAAGUCUGUCUGAUGCUGUUGUUUUUUUUCUUGCACCAUGACUAAUAAACUAAAACAUGUAUAAUUAUACCACAUAUGUUUGUUUUUAAUUAAAUGAUCAUCAAUAAAGUGUUUGGUAUCAAAGAAUGGCUUUUAGAAUCGUUGACUCCUUAAGCUUUGAAAUUCCAAAUAUAAAACGAAAUGAAGUAGCUGUGGCAAGGUGUGCAAGUUUACACAGCAAGAAGGUGUAUAUGCUGAAACAAUGUUAAAUCAGGAAAUAAG